rnacentral:lncRNA from 10 species
UUUUUUUCUUUUCUCAGUGAAAUAAAAAUCAAGAUGAUCAGGUGAGAAUGAGGAAGGGGAGAGGGUGCUGGGGACCCUUGGAGAGAAGAUGUUUUUGCAUCUUCUCUGCAGGUGUUCACAUCCUCUACUGGGCCCCCAGAUGCCACAUGCAAGCCAGCUGUGAGAGGGUCAAAGUCAGAUCACUGAAAUGCCUGCGAGUCACCCCCAGCGGUUCCCACAGCACUGCCUGCUGGACUGUCACUCCUCUGUUUAAAACCCUCAAAGAGCACCCACAAAGACAAGGUCUAAAUUCCUUGGCUCGGACUUGGAGCCCCAUAAUGGGCCCCCGGCGGACCCUCCGGUCUCCUCUUGUCCUGCCAAACAGGCAACUGCAGGAGAGUGGAGAGGCCUGGGGCCUCCCUGACUUGUCAGAAGCGCUCCCCCCAUCACUGAGAUGCAGGACCCAAGACAGCGCUGCUCCGGAGUGAAGGGGAGGUGCCAGCAGAGGAGCAGCCUCUACUCACCUCGGGGUGCUCCGCGAGGGCAAACAGGCCCAGUGUUGCCAGUGCUUCCCAUGUUGCCAGAGAAUCUGGAAAUGCAGAGUGUUAGAUGUUGCCGGAGCAGUUUUCUGUACUCUGCAGAUGAGCUAGUAUUAUUUUUUCAGCGCAUUCUCUUAAAGUCCCCCACUAGUAUUGUAGAGCAGGUUCUCUUCCUAUGAGUGGGUUAGACUUGCAAGACUUCCCCAAGUGAACUCUUAACAAAAUUUCUUCUUUAAUGUUUCUGCAACUCUGUUGGGAGCAGAUGGGUUCCAGAUAAGCCUAUGCCAGAGAACAGGCAAAAGGAAACCAUUUUUGCACUAACUGUUCUAUUUUGGUUUUGAGUCCUCUAACCUUCUCCUCCUUCUGCAAACUCAUUUCAUCUAAGCCUUUGCCAGGAGGACAACCCUUGCUGCUCAGAGUAGAGAGAGUGAGGAGCAGGGGCUGGGUGCGGGUGUCCACAGGGUUGGGGAAGGAAGAAGAUUCCAGUCACUUAAAAGGCGCUCCACACGUUGGGGCUGGGGAGGUGUAGAUGGUAAUCCCGUGUGGACAUUGGUCCUGUUCAGCAGCAGCCCUAAGUUGAAAGCAAUGGUGAUGUAUGAACACCAACACAGAAUGGAAACCUAGAGCUUGAUGCAUCCAAAGUCUUCCAGGCCCAACCACCUGCCUAUGUGUGCUCCAUCCCGGGCCCUAUCCAGUGGGAUCACUUGUUCCUGCAGGGCGGUGCAGAGCCAAGGACACACAAGCCACGCUGCCCCACAGGGUCUGAAGGAGUCGCCUGCUUUCCAGUGUUGUCUCUCCUCCUGCUGAAUGUCAGGAGCCCACUGACAACAGAGACUCGAGGUGAGUUUGGUAGGACACGCAUAUGAUCUGUACAUGGCGAGAGCGAGGCCUAAUCCAUGCACAAGUGGCUCAUGUUUGUAUACUUUGCCUACCUUGAAGAUGUGUUUAAAACUCUACUGCUUUUCUGUACUUCAGAGAGCUUAGGCAACAAGGACAAGACAUCAGAUACACCUUUUUCCAAAAGUGUGCAUACUCUCAUUGUGGUCUAAUUAUAAUAACAAAAAAACAGGAAGCAGCUUGAAUGUCCAAUGCUAGGAGAUGUCUGAUAAAUUAUGAUGUCCCAGUAAGACGGGUCCCAUGUAGCCAGCCACACAAGAACAUGCUCACCUGUGACCUUAACUGAAGAAAGUUGGAUAUAAAAACAUAAAAAAUGAAUAAGGAGCACAAUCCUACUCUGUCAUACAAAAACUUUUGUUACAUAAAAACACCCACAUAUGUGCACAGAAGAUAUUCCCU